GUCCCCGUAGCUCAACGGAUAGAGCGUUUGGUUGCGGACCAGGAGGUUGGAGGUUCGAUUCCUCCCGGGGACGCAA
rnacentral:tRNA from 1 species